GAUGAACGCUAGCGGCAGGCAUAAUACAUGCAAGUUGAACGGGAUUCAGAUAGCAAUAUUUGAUGAGAGUGGCGCACGGGUGCGUAACACGUAUGCAACUUACCUUAAACUGGGAGAUAGCCCGUGGAAACAUGGAUUAAUAUCCCAUAGUAUAAAGAACAGGCAUUUGUUUUUUAUUAAAGCUCCGGCGGUUUAAGAUGGGCAUGCGCGUCAUUAGCUAGAUGGAGAGGUAACGGCUCACCAUGGCAACGAUGACUAGGGGGUCUGAGAGGAUGUCCCCCCACACUGGUACUGAGACACGGACCAGACUCCUACGGGAGGCAGCAGUAGGGAAUAUUGGGCAAUGGACGCAAGUCUGACCCAGCCAUGCCGCGUGCAGGAAGACGGCCCUCUGGGUUGUAAACUGCUUUUAUCAGGGAAGAAACCCUUCUACGUGUAGGAGGCUGACGGUACCUGAGGAAUAAGGAUCGGCUAACUCCGUGCCAGC
rnacentral:rRNA from 1 species